rnacentral:rRNA from 1 species
UACGGAGGAUCCGAGCGUUAUCCGGAUUUAUUGGGUUUAAAGGGAGCGUAGGCGGGUUGUUAAGUCAGUUGUGAAAGUUUGCGGCUCAACCGUAAAAUUGCAGUUGAUACUGGCAUCCUUGAGUACAGUAGAGGUAGGCGGAAUUCGUGGUGUAGCGGUGAAAUGCUUAGAUAUCACGAAGAACUCCGAUUGCGAAGGCAGCCUGCUGGACUGUAACUGACGCUGAUGCUCGAAAGUGUGGGUAUCAACCAGG